GACCAACUAAGUUAGUUCUUGGUAUGAGCUUUCGUGUGCAUGCACACUUCUUCAGAUACUUCUUCAGGUAUGUGAAGAAGUGUGCAUGCACACGAAAGCUCAUACCAAGAACUAACUUAGUUGG